UCUCCUAAAGAAAUAACUGCAUUGGAGAGGAACCAAGAUGGCGGAGUAGAAGGACGUGCUCUCGUUCCCUCUUGCGAGAACACCAGAAUCACAACUAGCUGGUGGACAAUCAUUGACAGGAAGACACUGGAACUCACCAAAAAAGACACCACACAUCCUAAGACAAAGGAGAAGCCACAAUGAGAUGACAGCUCUGGGUGUUCUCUGAUGCUUUUGCAAAAAUGUUCCUAUAAAAGGGUUUCACCUUCAAGGAAUUCAUGGAAAAGACUCUGACAAGUACAGGUUUCUGAGAUUGGCUGGCAUCUUGGCAGAGACGUGGAUUCAUGCACAAGGUAAGAGUUUAAACUCCGAUCUCUAAGGUCCCUUCCGACUCGUGAAUGUCUGUGUUUUGUCCUCACUUAGGCUUCCUUCACCAUGAACUGCGUUUCAUUUUUGAGGAACCAAAGCAAUAUCCUAAGCUCAUUCUUUAUUUAGAGUAAAAUUACCCUCAUGUUUAAUAUGCUUUGUGUGAAUGAUUCACUCUCAGUUGUAUGUAGGGUGUGCAGGCAAAGGUAGACCUUAUUGUGCUUUUAAGAAGUUGCAACCAAGUGUAUUUUACAAAGGGAUACAUGAAAAACCGCAGGCACAAAACAAAUGAUCUACUGAAAAUUCAUCAGUUAUGGUGGGAUGGGUUAUGUUGAUUUCCUUGUUCAUUGAAUGUUUUCUUAUGAAGCAGUAUUGAAUUUUGUCGGAUACCUUUUCUGCAUUGAGAUUGUGUGGUUUUUGUCCUUUAUUCUAUAGAUAGACAGUGUAUUCCAUUAACUGAUUUUCAGAUGUUAAACCAGCUUUGCAUUCUUGGGAUAAAUCCCACCUGAACGUAAUGUAUAAUCCUUUUUAUGUAUUGGUAGAUUCAGUUUGCUAGUAUUUUGUUGAGAAUUUUACAUCUAUAUUUAUGAAAAUAUUGGGAUGUAGCUUUCUCUUUUUGUUGUACUGAUUUUUUUUUUUCUUUUCGGUACGCGGGCCUCUCACUGUUGUGGCCUGUCCUGUUGCGGAGCACAGGCUCCGGUCGCGCAGGCUCAGCGGCCAUGGCUCACGGGCCCGGACGCUCCGCGGCAUGUGGGAUCUUCCUGGACCGGGGCACGAACCCGUGUCCCCUGCAUCGGCAGGCGGACUCUCAACCACUGUGACACCAGGAAAGCCCUGUUGUACUGAUUUUUAAAGUACAGUGAAGAUUAAUGAGUCUGUGGGUAGUAAUCCAAUC